rnacentral:rRNA from 1 species
GACGAACCGAGCGAACGUUGUUCGGAAUCACUGGGAUUAAAGGGCGCGUAGGCGGAUCAUCAAGUCCGGGGUGAAAUCUUUCGGCUCAACCGGAAAAGUGCCUUGGAUCCUGAUGGUCUCGAGGGAGGUAGGGGCAGAUGGAACUUCCGGUGGAGCGGUGAAAUGCGUUGAUAUCGGAAGGAACUCCGGUGGCGAAAGCGAUCUGCUGGACCUCUUCUGACGCUGAGGCGCGAAAGCUAGGGGAGCAAACGGG